GGGCCAGUGUCAUUCAAAGAUGUGGCUGUGGAUUUCACCCAGGAGGAGUGGUGGCAACUGGACCCUGAUGAGAAGAUAACAUACGGGGGUGUGAUGUUGGAGAACUACAGCCAUCUAGUUUCCUUGGCUUAUGAGGUGGCAACAUCUUGUACUUCGGAGAUUCUGAAGCCGAGCAACUUGCCCAAGUCCUUCUUCUUUUCCCAUUAACAAGAUAUGAUAUCACCAAGCCAAACGUCAUCAUUAAGUUGGAGCAGGGAGAGGAGCUGUGGAUAACGGGAGGUGAAUUUCCAUGUCAACAUAGUCCAGAUCGUGAAGAAGUCAUGCUACCCACGCUGGAAUGAGACGUUUGAAUUUGAGCUGCAGGAGGGGGCCAUGGAGGCGCUGUGCUUGGAGGCCUGGGACUGGGACCUUGUCAGCCGAAACGACUUCCUGGGCAAAGUGGUGAUCGAUGUCCAGAGACUGCGGGUGGCGCAGCAGGAGGAGGGCUGGUUCCGGCUGCAGCCCGACCAGUCCAAGAGCCGGCGGCAUGACGAGGCCCAGGGCAGC
rnacentral:lncRNA from 1 species